rnacentral:lncRNA from 1 species
UCUUCAGCUCGCUGUCGUCCCUCCCCCGUGCGAGUCCAGCCGCUACCCAGCUCAGUCCGGCGCCUCCGGCCACCGCCUACCUCCGUCCGGCCACCGUGCCACCCCCCGGCGUCCCCCUCAUCUUCCGCCGGCCUCCCCUCGCCGUUUUGGCCACCGGAGCAGCCCCGGCCAGCCUCGUCCAGCAACCCACGAAAUGGGUUUCCAGCUGGUUCGAGCUCGCUUUUGGGCCGUUUCCGGGCCCCGAACCCGAGCUGUGCUUUGGGAAGUUUCAUUCCUCGCGCCGCCGCCGUUGGAUCGAUCCGAUUUGUGCGCGAUUUGG